rnacentral:rRNA from 1 species
AUUGAACGCUGGCGGCAGGCCUAACACAUGCAAGUCGAGCGGAUGAAGGGAGCUUGCUCCUGGAUUCAGCGGCGGACGGGUGAGUAAUGCCUAGGAAUCUGCCUGGUAGUGGGGGAUAACGUCCGGAAACGGGCGCUAAUACCGCAUACGUCCUGCGGGAGCAAGUGGGGGAUCUUCGGACCUCACGCUAUCAGAUGAGCCUAGGUCGGAUUAGCUAGUUGGUGGGGUAAAGGCCUACCAAGGCGACGAUCCGUAACUGGUCUGAGAGGAUGAUCAGUCACACUGGAACUGAGACACGGUCCAGACUCCUACGGGAGGCAGCAGUGGGGAAUAUUGGACAAUGGGCGAAAGCCUGAUCCAGCCAUGCCGCGUGUGUGAAGAAGGUCUUCGGAUUGUAAAGCACUUUAAGUUGGGAGGAAGGGCAGUAAGUUAAUACCUUGCUGUUUUGACGUUACAAACAGAAUAAGCACCGGCUAACUUCGUG